CUCAAAUACCACCCGUGUCGGCCUCAGAGAAUGCAAAUUAUUCACACCAGAAAUAGAUAUUAAAAACACCGUACUUUAUUUUACAACAUUUAAGACAGGAGUACGAUGUUUCACAUGUAUGUCACUUUCCUUUAAGCUUUUGCCGGUGCUAUCUGCUGCUGUGGAUUUGUAUAAGCCUUGUCACUGCCUUUACCAUACCUACCAACAGUCCUGGAUUUUGACAAAUUGUGGUUUCCUGUCUGACACAUUAUUACCACUGCUUUCUAUACGUAUCCAAGUUUAAAGUAGAAAAAUAAAUAAACUUGCUCACAUAAAAAGAAGGAUUUAGGGGGGCGGAGCCUGACAGCCAAGCUGAGUGGUCGCACCUCAGCAGAGCUCCUGUCUAAAAAACCUGCAAAUUCAAAGCUUUUUACACUCCAGACACUGGGGCUUAAUAUCGAGACAAUGCAUAACCGAGCCUGGGACCGCAAAAUGUGACUGAUUCCAGGGGAUGGACCUGAGGCCUCCUUGCGGCCUACUCAGGAAGCAUGGGGGAGACGGCCGACCCCUCAGCUUGUAACAAAGGAGGUCUCUCCGGAACACUCUCUCCCCCCCCCCCUCCCCCGCCGGUGAGGGAUAUCCCGGCAACCAGAGCAUGUGGAUCAGGACGGAGAAACCGAGCCCAGCCACCUUGCACCGCCGGACCGUUUGCCUCCACUGUCGGAGCGGCUAGACCGCCUAUUCAGUGAUUUUUGGGCCAAACUCGCCAGCCGCAGAGACACCCGGGCACAAGUCCCACCGGCAUCAGCCACAAAAGACAUUAUAAAGCAGCCUGCAGCUCCAGUGCGGAACCCGAGUACGAUCGAGAUAGCAGGGAGUGAGAGGCGGAAGAAACGUCGUAAGCCCCAGCGCCCGACUCUUAGACCACUGGUGAGUUGCCCAAAGCCUCAACGGAGACGAUCUCCAGGGAUGCCCCAUCACCACCCCUCUCACCCGCGAAAAGUCCACUCUAAGAACUGGCCUAGCACACUCAGGCAGGUUCCAUCUCAGAACAGCAGCCCCCUGGGUCUAAAGGCACACAUGGGACUCCCGAACACUCACCACUCCAAGUCACCAGGAAACCUGGAGGCAGCACGGAGCCAACUCACUGCCCAACGAACAGGAGUGCUUGGUCCACUAGCUCCCCCGAGAGGCAGCAAAACAUAUGGCUGUGACAUACCCCUGGCAGGUGUUGGCUGACCGGGACAUUUGAAAUCACAGAUGAGUCAUUCACCCUAUGCCUCAUAAAGUCCCUACCUGCUACUAAGGACGUUUUCUUGUUCCCCUGAGAAAUAUAGUGUUACUCCUAUGCUCAUAUGCUAUGCCCUACAACUUACACGCUAACCUACUGCAAUUAUCUUGUAUUCCUAUCAACUAACAACACUAGUAUAAACAUGUGCCAAACUUUCAACAAAGCACAACCUCUACACACUUUCUAGGGCUAUGUAUAAUACCAAUGUUCAAUACUCCACAGCCUCAAUAGACUUAGCAUGCUCCUACCUUCCUGUAUUAACCCAUGAAACUAGGCAAAGUUUAUAUGACACACAACUGUUUCUCUAUGUCUAUGUCUAAGUCUUUAAUUUGCUAUCACUACUAAGCUUACGAUAUUAUCUUGUUUAUAUAACUACUUUCAAAAAAAGUGCAAUGUCGUUAAUGCCAUGUGAUUAAGAAUGUAUGCAAACUCGACUGUACCAGCUAUUGUGGCAGUACAAAUUUGCCUGUUACCCU
rnacentral:lncRNA from 1 species